GAAAACCCAUUCCAGAGAGCUGGAGAUGUAACGUUCGGGGGACAUUCUCCUUCCUUCACUCUUCUUGACUUUUCCUUCUUUUUCCUUUGUUCCUUUCUUUCCCCUCUUCUUCCCCAUUUUUUUCCCCCAUUUCUCCUUUCCUUCUUUCUUUUUCUCAGAUUCUCAGGCAAGAGAGUCCUUUGUAGCUUCUGAAUUGCUGUUUGGACCAGAGCUCGCUUAAGCAGAGGUUCAGAGCUGUGAAGUUCCCAGCACCGUGCUCUGUCCCUUUCCUCUGGAGCCUGCUGGACAACCCUCACUGAUGCCAGUGCACACCUGGAGCCAGGCUGGGCAGGGAGCAGGGAAGGUGAACUGCUGCUACACCUCUCGCCGUUCUCUGGACGUGCAGUAACACCAUCUGCCCCUGCUCCAAGGACGCCUCCCUCUUGCCUUCUGUUGCCUGGUCUGAGUCCUGUGAGCAUACGUGCCUGUUGUGUGCUUUGGGGGUGGGGGACACACAGCCCCGAGUUCAGGCAUAGCCAUCAGUCUGCCAAGGGAACUGUAAAGAGAAGAAAACAUAGCAACAAAUGAUCUGCCUAUACUGUGUGGUUUCAAGGAUUCCUUAUGCACCCAGAAGCCUUCUGCCUUGAUCCUGUGCACCCCGCAGACCUGCAGCUGCAGAGGCUUUUAGAACAGCCUGUCUUGAAGCCAGUGAGACUUGAAGACUGUGAAAACAGAAAUGGACGUCAGUUUGUAGGUUGGGACCUCACUGGGUGCUGUGGCUGGAUGGCACGUGGAGCAUCCUGAGCUGAACGUGGAAUCUAUCCAACUACUGGAAAGGAGUUAUGACUUUCUUCACUUCUCCUGAAGCACAGACAGUCGGGGCCAUCCGAGGUAAGGAUGUGCCCACUUCCUCCAGUCUUCCUCCAUUAACUGUUCCAACAUAAUCCUUCUCUUCUGCACGUAACAGAGUAAUUGAACAGUGGAUUACUGAAUACUGACAACUGCUGCAUGAAAGUAUAAAUGGG
rnacentral:lncRNA from 1 species